rnacentral:rRNA from 1 species
CCUACGGGAGGCAGCAGUGGGGAAUAUUGCACAAUGGGCGCAAGCCUGAUGCAGCCAUGCCGCGUGUAUGAGGAAGGCCUUCGGGUUGCAAAGUACUUUCAGCGAGGAGGAAGGCAUUAAGGUUAAUAACCUUGGUGAUUGACGUUACUCGCAGAAGAAGCACCGGCUAACUCCGUGCCAGCAGCCGCGGUAAUACGGAGGGUGCAAGCGUUAAUCGGAAUUACUGGGCGUAAAGCGCACGCAGGCGGUAUGUCAAGUCAGAUGUGAAAUCCCCGGGCUCAACCUGGGAACUGCAUUCGAAACUGGCAGGCUAGAGUCUUGUAGAGGGGGGUAGAAUUCCAGGUGUAGCGGUGAAAUGCGUAGAGAUCUGGAGGAAUACCGGUGGCGAAGGCGGCCCCCUGGACAAGACUGACGCUCAGGUGCGAAAGCGUGGGGAGCAAACAGGAUUAGAUACCCCUGUAGUC